UACGAAGGGGGCGAGCGUUUGUUCGGAAUCACUGGGCGUAAAGGGCGCGUAGGCGGCCCUCUUAGUCGCGUGUGAAAGCCCCGGGCUCAACCUGGGAACGGCGCGCGAAACGGGAGGGCUGGAGUUCGGGAGAGGAGAGUGGAAUUCCCAGUGUAGAGGUGAAAUUCGUAGAUAUUGGGAAGAACACCGGUGGCGAAGGCGGCUCUCUGGACCGAGACUGACGCGUGAGGCGCGAAAGCGUGGGAGCAACAGG
rnacentral:rRNA from 1 species